UAGGAAAUCUUCCGCAAUGGACGCAAGUCUGACGGAGCAACGCCGCGUGAGUGAAGAAGGAUUUCGGUUCGUAAAACUCUGUUGUUAGAGAAGAACAGCGCAUAGAGUAACUGUUAUGCGUGUGACGGUAUCUAACCAGAAAGCCACGGCUAACUACGUGCCAGCAGCCGCGGUAAUACGUAGGUGGCAAGCGUUGUCCGGAAUCACUGGGCGUAAAGGGUUCGCAGGCGGCAAUGCAAGUCAGAUGUAAAAGGCAUAGGCUUAACCUAUGUAAGCAACUGAAACUGUAUAGCUUGAGAAGUGUAGAGGCAAGUGGAAUUUUUAGUGUAACGGUGAAAUGCGUAGAUAUUAAAAAGAAUACCGGUGGCGAAGGCGACUUGCUGGGCACAAUCUGACGCUGAGGCUCGAAAGCGUGGGGAGCGAACAGG
rnacentral:rRNA from 1 species